UGGGGAAUCUUGCACAAUGGGGGAAACCCUGAUGCAGCGACGCCGCGUGAACGAUGAAGCCCUUCGGGGUGUAAAGUUCUUUCGGCAGGGACGAUAAUGACGGUACCUGCAGAAGCAGCUGCGGCUAACUACGUGCCAGCAGCCGCGGUAAUACGUAGGCAGCAAGCGUUGUUCGGAAUUACUGGGCGUAAAGAGUGCGUAGGCGGUUGGCUAAGUUUGGUGUGAAAUCUCCCGGCUCAACAGGGAGGGUGCGCCGAAAACUGGCGGGCUAGGUUGCGGGAGAGG
rnacentral:rRNA from 1 species